GCAAUAUUUUCAACCAAUAUUAGAUUGGUAGUUCAUGAUAACGUAGAACAAAUAAACAACAUUGACUUGUAAAAAAUCCAAAAUCUUGCCCAAAUCAUCUUUGUUUCUCUCUCUCGACUUCUCUACUUUGUAAGCUCAAUGUAACUGCACGGAUAACUCGCUAAUUCGACAGUAUACAAGUAUAUUUUGGUAAAUAUAAUGCAUUUGCAAAUUGAAAACGAUAACUAGAUUUGAAAAUGCAUGAAUGAGAGUUUGGGAGUAUAGAAAUUAUCAACAUGUGUUCAUGUCCAUUCGUGCUAAGCUCCAUUGUCUUGAAAUUCACGUCAAAAAUGCGCAAGUUCAAUUGCAUUAGUUGCUACUUUUAGUACCACAUGCAUCUGAUUCCAGGUUACUGGCAACUUUCCAUAGAUAGUAACUCGGUUGCCAAAUGUAAGCAAGAUACAUGUAGGUCGGAAUUACAGUUUUUGAUAUACGAGGUUGUUUUUACAUUAAAUACCGUGAAUGUAAAUCCGGUAUUUUGCAUUUCAAGCUUUUUGUCUUAUCACUCACUAAAUUAUAUAUAACAGUGUGGGGCAAGAUGGCUACCGUUAGCAUCUAAAUCCCCAUAUUUCCGGAUCUGGUUUUAGACAAUUAUGAAUGUAAUGAACUAAGGAAUAUAACUUGUUUUAUCCUCGCGUGGCUAGAAAACCACAGUCGUUAUCGGUUUCAUACACCUCCCACCCGCUUACGGAUUUUCACAUGUGUAACUUUGUGGGUAAUUGUUUUUAUCUACGUCCGACAAUUUUGACAACCCAUUAUUGACCACUAGGUUGGAGCAAUUGCCGUUACGUGUCUUGGCCAAGAACGCAUUUACGACCACAAUGGUAGCAGCGACGAGCCUUCAACCCAUAACCUAUGUGUUAGAGGUAGGCGAGCUAACCAACUGCGCCAAGGCGCCGGACAUUACCUAUGUUAUUUGAUAGUUGGGGGCUACUGUUAUAUAUUUUGUAAAUAUGAUCUAUCUUACCCCACCCUACUAUGCAAUGUUACCCAUGAGCGUGUACGUCAUAAAUACAAUAUCACUGUGUUAGUAUGCGAUUAUACAAAUCAAAGUUCAAAGAAAUAUUGUGUAGCCUACAGGUUCUAAUACAGCUUGCAUCAUUUGAUUACAACGUGCAAAGCAAACACCAUGCAUGCGAAUAACUUUUUUACAAGGUUAGUUUAUGAAGGUUGUAUAACUAUAGCAAAGCUUUGGUGAUUGGAAAGCUGAAAAGGUCCCAUGACAACCUAUACAUGAAAUUGAAUUCAAUGUCAGUCAGCUAGUAGAAAAAGAAAGUCAAGACCAUAACAUUGUAUUCCUUUGUUUCAAGUUACAUCGUGAGAACUAUUGUUUUAGGGGCAGAGAAAUACAUCAAACAAAAAAACAAAAAGUUAAAACUCAUCUAAAUAGAAGCUGAUCAGCUGUAGCUACAUAUAGGUACGUGUUACUGUGGAUUAGGUAAGCCUGCUGUAUUGAGAGUAUAAGACAGCAGAAUAACAACUCCAAAGACCCCCCAAUUGAAGCGGCAUGUGUUUUCCUCUAAUGUGAUCGAACGUCAGUGGUAUGCAGUUGGACGAUACUAUAUACGGAUAGAGAAUGGUCGGCUUCAUUUUAUUCUUAGAAGUGCAUUCCGCGUUUUCCAAGCGCCUCAAGGGUAUAGAGGUCCUUUAGUAAACCCAUUGCGCCCAACUACUACAACAGGCCGACCAUACACAUACUCCGAGGCUGACAUGGAAACACCAAUGCAAUUUUUAUCUCAAGUGAACUUUUGGUUUUGAUGGUACUUCCCCCCGUUACCAAGAGAAUCAUUCAACUGAAACAAACUUUUACUCAAUAUUUUGUGAUAUUGAAGAAAGUUAUAUUGUGCAGAGUCAGUUAAAUGUCCUUUGCAGUAUUUCUGGUUAGAUGUAUUAGGAUGUUUUGGUGUUAUAAGAUCAUAUUUCUGUGAACCCUGUAUUUCUUUAAACUGUAGCAAACGGCCGCUGCUUUUACUCAUACUCUAUUUUCGGUGUAUCGUCAAAGCUGUUGCUUUAGUAUUCUGAACCUGCUAAACACAUGUCAAUAAACUUAUACGUAGCAAUUAAGAACUUAGCAGUUGAAUUUUCAUUAUUAGCGCAUUGUCACAUAUCGUGUGGCACUCUCGUUUUUCCGUGACACAAAGUCUUAUAAAAGUCGCUGGUUUUUGGACAAAACGAUAAUGCCACAAUUAUGGACGUGUCGUAGGGUAGUAUCUAACUACAAUGUUGCAUACUUUCAGAUAUUCGUAAAUCACAUUCACACAAAUCAUAUGAAACAGACACUGUGUUAUUCAACCAAUAUUUUUCCCGCCACGCGAUGACAUACAAAACAAGUUUAUUUCCAUUUUAGAUCAAGCAAUGUUGAAACAAUACAUUAGUUAAAUAAAUUUUAUUCGCGAGGUGGCGCUCGUGAACCCUUUAAUAAAAAAUUAAUAAAUGAAAAUAAACGAACUAUGGAUUGUUUAAAUUGUAAGUCAUACAUUAGAACCAACAGUAAUA